UCCAGGAAGGUGUUGGCGCGUUUGCGGAUCCGCAGCACCUGGUGGGCAUGCCGGUGGCUGGAGAACACUGAGUCUGGGAGGGAGACAGGGAGCUCGCAUUGGUGGGGGGCCUGGCUGGGGAGUCCCUGGGGAGGUUUUCGUCUUGGGUCCCUCAGGAUUAUAAUUCCAGGUACCGAUACCCUCUCCUCCUCCCGAAGCAGGGGGCCGGCCAUCGGAGGACAGGACACUUGACCAUUCAGGUUUAUUCAUCAAAAAAUGAGGAUGGGAUAAUCACAUAAAACACUUAGUACGGAAAUGAGCGGCCAGUGACAAAUGCCACAUGCUGCUGCUGUUGUUAUUAUUAUACUGCAAAGGUCCGCCUCUCAUCUCCUCUCGCCCUGAGGCUCAGGGGAGACGGUGAAAGGUGUGAAGACCCCGAGGGUCCCGAGGAGGGGGUGGGAGAGUGGCCUUACCGGGAGGAGCUGGUGCGCUGGAAACUCCCCAGAUGGUCACGAACAGUAAGAGGCCUGUAAGCCGCCACAUUCUGAAGUUGCUGCCACCUGUCUGAGGAGGACUUCUGAGCUUCCGGCAGCCGCGCCAGCCCCCGCUCUGCCCCCUUCCCCGGCCCCGGGUGGGAUCGCCAGGGCAAAAGCUGGGGUCGGGGGUCCCUGUUCACUAUUCAGACACCCACGUGGCGCCUCGGUCCCCUUGUCUAUAUGGGGCUAAGGUCACACGACCCGAGCCUGCAGGGUGAAGACAGGAAGUGGAAGGGGCAGUGACCUGGUGAAGAUCAAAGGGGACUCGGCACAGAAGGGUGAUGGGCAGGUGCACCCAGAACGUUCCUGCCCUCCCUGGGUGAGGAUUCGGGGGUGACGCCUCUGCUGAUCUAAAGGCCAGGUUAAGAAUAAUAACUGACAUUUAUUGGACAGUCACGGUGUCUUUCAAGAAAUUUGGACAUGGUUCAGAGGACAGGCCACCAAGUCAGAGCGCCUGGUGCAAAUCCCAGCUCCAGGACAGGAUUGUCGAGCGAGAUCCCUAACUGCCCCUCAGUUGCCUCCUUUGUAAAACGGGUGGAAAAACUGUACUUCUGCCU